rnacentral:tRNA from 1 species
GCGGGCGGCGAUUUACUGCCCUCCGAAGGCAGGGGUUGCUGGUUCGAUCCCAGCCGGGCGCGCCA